GCACGUGUAGCUCAGUGGUAGAGCAUCAGAUUGCAAAUCUGUGGGUCCCUGGUUCAAUUCCGGGCACGAGCU
rfam:Brettanomyces bruxellensis AWRI1499 AWRI1499_contig3086_scaffold73, whole genome shotgun sequence.